rnacentral:rRNA from 1 species
UACGGGGGGGGCAAGCGUUGUUCGGAAUUACUGGGCGUAAAGGGCUCGUAGGCGGCCAACUAAGUCAGACGUGAAAUCCCUCGGCUUAACCGGGGAACUGCGUCUGAUACUGGAUGGCUUGAGUUUGGGAGAGGGAUGCGGAAUUCCAGGUGUAGCGGUGAAAUGCGCAGAUAUCAGGAAGAACACCGAUGGCGAAGGCAGCUCUCUGGGACGGUACUGACGCUGAGACGCGAAAGCGUGGGGAGCGAACAGG